rnacentral:rRNA from 1 species
CAGAGGGUGCGAGCGUUAAUCGGAAUUACUGGGCGUAAAGCGCGCGUAGGCGGCUUUUCAAGUCGGAUGUGAAAUCCCCGGGCUCAACCUGGGAACUGCAUUCGAGACUGUCUAGCUAGAGUAUGGGAGAGGGAAGUGGAAUUUCAGGUGUAGCGGUGAAAUGCGUAGAUAUCUGAAGGAACAUCAGUGGCGAAAGCGACUUCCUGGACCAAUACUGACGCUCAUGUGCGAAAGCGUGGGGAGCAAACAGGAUUAGAUACCCUGGUAGUCCACGCCAUAAACGAUGAGAACUGGAUGUCGGGAGGGUCUGCCUCUCGGUGUCGUAGCUAACGCGUUAAGUUCUCCGCCUGGGGAGUACGGCCGCAAGGUUG